rnacentral:lncRNA from 1 species
UCUGCCUGCUUCUGCCUUCCAAGUGCUGGGAUUUAAGGCAUGUGCCACCACUGCCCGGCUCAUCUGAAACUCUUAGGCCCGUGGUCUUGGUAGUUGGAGGGGUGCUAGUGGGGUCUCAGAACCAGAGCAAGCAGAAUAGAUCCCACCCUCAGGAAUAUGCAGGUGGGGAAGGAAAACAGGACUCAUCUGGAGUCCAUUUGACUGUGGGAUUGGAAUUGGAUCUUUGCCCAUGUCCCUGAGAUCUAAGUUCAGGUGGGGUCUCACGGGCACGGGAGUAGUGUGUGUCCCUAAGCCAAUAUGACUGGUGUUUGUACAAGAAAGAGGGGGGGGGGAGAAAGAAGUGGAGAAGGAGGAGGAGUAGGAGAAGGUACAGACAUUGGAGGAUCACUGCUUGGGCCAAUCAAAAAUGCCAGUAUCUCUAGAAGCGAAGAAAAAUAUCAGAAAACAGGCUCUCCCUCAGAACUGUCAAAGUGUGCUUACCCCGGUGACAUCUCAUCUCAGAUGUUCAGCUGCUGCAACUGCAGAGAGUAACCUUUGGUUAUAUUAAGUCACAUAGCCACUAGUAUUUUGUUUUGGCAGCUUUAGGAAACCCAUACUUGCUCAGCUUGGUAUAUUGACUCUUGGGAGCUGGAUGGUUUCCUUAUGGGGGCUACAAAGAGUGUGUAAGAUGCGUGGUCAAAACCCUGGUCUCUACCUAGUGAAGGUCAGGAGAAUCCAUCCCCUGACAA